AUUACCCACACAAAGACCUAGUAUUGAUAAAAAGGAAUUCGACUUAGGGCUUUAAGGGAAGAGCGUGUCUCAACCCAGGCACUGGAGAGUAACACAAGCUUUGCAUUCAGCUUUUCCAGAAUCGACUCCAGGAUCUUAUCGGAAGGGACCAGCAGGUUCUGGAUUUUCCUAAGCUUGGACUGCAUUUUUCAUUCUUCUGGAAACAACCUUAAGUUCAGGAGGCCGAGAAACCUAAGAACCUGGAACCAGCAUCCAGCAUGGACUUUUGUGCAGCAUGGAGAGCUGGGCUAAAUGUAUCCUUUGAUCUUAAAGGCCCCACCUCAUAUAAUGACAACUGAGUUGCAGCAUGAAUUUGGAAGAGACCUUAAACCAUCAUACUGGUAAGGGAUGGUGUGUGAGAACAUGCUGGGACAGUUGAAGAAGAGCACCUAUCAUGUUCAAACUCUGUUUUUAUAUUAAACCAACCUACAAGCAUAGA
rnacentral:sRNA from 1 species